AGUCGUACGGGCGGCUUCGGCUGUCAGUGGCGGACGGGUGAGUAACGCGUAGGAACGUGUCCUGUGAUGGGGGAUAACGCUGGGAAACUGGCGCUAAUACCGCAUAUUUCCUGAGGGAGAAAGCCGAUAGGCGUCAUGGGAGCGGCCUGCGUCCGAUUAGGUAGUUGGUGGGGUAAAGGCCUACCAAGCCUGCGAUCGGUAGCUGGUCUGAGAGGAUGAUCAGCCACACUGGGACUGAGACACGGCCCAGACUCCUACGGGAGGCAGCAGUGGGGAAUAUUGGACAAUGGGCGCAAGCCUGAUCCAGCAAUUCCGCGUGGGUGAAGAAGGUCUUCGGAUUGUAAAGCCCUUUCGGCAGGGACGAUGAUGACGGUACCUGCAGAAGAAGCCCCGGCUAACUUCGUGCCAGCAGCCGCGGUAAUACGAAGGGGGCUAGCGUUGCUCGGAAUGACUGGGCGUAAAGGGCGCGUAGGCGGUUUGCACAGUCAGGCGUGAAAUUCCUGGGCUUAACCUGGGGGCUGCGUUUGAUACGUACAGACUUGAGGAUGGAAGAGGCUCGUGGAAUUCCCAGUGUAGAGGUGAAAUUCGUAGAUAUUGGGAAGAACACCGGUGGCGAAGGCGGCGAGCUGGUCCAUUACUGACGCUGAGGCGCGAAAGCGUGGGGAGCAAACAGGAUUAGAUACCCUGGUAGUCCACGCUGUAAACGAUGUGCGCUGGAUGUUGGGUGGCUUAGCCACUCAGUGUCGUAGCUAACGCGAUAAGCGCACCGCCUGGGGAGUACGCACGCAAGUGUGAAACUCAAAGGAAUUGACGGGGGCCCGCACAAGCGGNGGNNUAUGNNGUUUNANU
rnacentral:rRNA from 1 species